rnacentral:sRNA from 1 species
UCACAAAAAAAAAGAUUCAUGAAUGCAAAGAGUAGAGUUAAGUUCUUAUAUUGGGAUUGGAGAUGGGAUUACCAUGAGAGCUUCAUUUGAUAUACUCUGGGUAGAUGGGAUCUUAUCUCUGUAUGCAUAGCUUGGGACUUACCUUUAUCAUUCUACUAAAGCUUAAUUAUUUUUUGAGAGAUCCCCUAUUACUGAAGCCUAUUCUGUAAGGGACCAUCUUUGUCUCUUGACAUUUUACCUUAGCCAAAUGAGUUCAUUGAUGAUGCAUUGCUUGAUUCACGUUCCAGAACUAAUGAAUGUUAAAGGGAUUGGUAGAUUUGAAAACAUGUGUAGGCCGAGCAUAUGAGUCGGAUUGAUUGAUAAUAAGGCAUGACUAACGUUUUUGAGUAGACUUCGAUCAUAUCGCAGCUUAGGAUUAUCAACUUGGACAUUGAUUUCAUCUAGUUUAUCUAGUGUUUUGACUCUGAGUCCCCGCUUUCAAACUGCACUUCCAGCUUGUUCUUAAUUGUUUGCUUGAGGGCAAGCAAAGACUAAGUUUAGGGGAGUUGAUAAGUGUGUAUUUUGCAUGUUUUGAGCAUCCAUUUGUCAUCACUUUAGCAUCAUAUCAUCACUGUUUUAUAUCAUUUCUCAUCAUUCGUCAUCACUUUGCAUGUUUAGGAUAGGUUUGCAUACAUAUUGCAUAUUUCUGUUGAUUUCUGGUGAUUUGGAGCUGUUGACGAGCUAAUUGGAAGAAGCGGACCUGAUCAUGUCAAACCACUCGACCCCCAGGUCGAGUAGACGCUUCACGACCUCAACAGAACACUCGAUCCCCUGUUCGAGUAGUGUCCUUCACCAUUUCACCUCAUCACUCGACUCCCUAGCCGAGUACCACCACGAGAAACACUCGAUCACAUCACUCGACCCCGAGGCCGAGUGUCUUCACCUCCACAACAUGACCAUCACUCGAUCACAUCACUCGACCCCGAGGUCGAGUGUCUUCACCUCCACUAACUGAUCAUCACUCGAUCACACCAUCUACCUGGAAGUCGAGUAUCACCAUCAUCACCACUCGACUACAUACUUGAUGGCGAGCUUCAGAGUCUUCUCCAUUCCGCACUCAACCAGACACUCGAGCACAAGGAAGAAAAAAAGACUCUAGCUUAUCACUCGACCUCUCACUCGACCACCUGGGUCGAGUACUGUUCUUAAUCCGUCCCAAUACUGCGUCGUUUUAAGUAUUAGGGUUUCGGAAUAUUUUGCUAUAACUAGCAUGUACUAUACAUUUUCGAGAACAAGUUUUUAUCUAGUUUUAUUCCGGAGACACUGUGUUCUAGACCUUUUGUAAUCCGAAUUUCUCUAUAUAUAUUCAGUAUUCAGUAUUCAGUAUUUGUUCUUGAUUUCAGUUAAUGUUGUUCAUCCUCUUAUCAUUUUGCUAUUACACUGUUGUUAUCAUGUUUUCAUCCUGUUAAACGUUUAUGUUCUCUGCUAAUGAUGUCCGAGUAGUGAAUAGGUUUCUGAGGAUGGGUUAGAGUAGUGUAGAAUUCUCAGUAUGCUAGGUGGUUGAGUAUUGAUUGAUAGAUCCCUUCUGAAUUAGUUGUUCUUAAUGCCUAUUGCUUUCUGAUCAACUGGAAUUUGAGCCCAGACAUUUCCGCGCCCAAAAGGUGUUCGAUGAAAUGUCUGAACUACUAAUUCCAGAGAUUCGUGGCCCUGUACCAAGGUAUUGGUUGCAGGGAGCGUUUUGGCUUUAACUUGUUGAUUCGUAAUGCCUGUUAGGUUAGCUCUCGUCAAUGGUGAUUGAGUCUGGGACUAGGUUAACUUGAGGGUCUCUGUUGCGGUGGCACUUAGAUUUGGUUAAUGAACUUGUUGUCUAGGGAUAGUUUAUUGAGCAUGUCAAUCACCUGUAAACUGAGGAAACGAAACUACUCAGUUAACCCAUCCUCCGGAAUUCUUUAUCUAAUUGAUUUUAUUGUUUUCUCUACUGUUGUUUACUCCAUCUUGUUACAUGUUGUUUAGUUUUUGUAUUUCUCUCCUGUUACUCGACCUGAUACUCGACCACCCAGUUGUCUGGCAACAGACUGUGCAGUCGAGUGUCUCUGUUUUGUUUACUGCCUGUUACUCGACCAAGUCACUCGACCACAUCCAGUGCUCUACAACGAGUUGUGUUGGUCGAGUGUUUUACUGUUUCUGUUUUCUGCAUGUUCACUUAGGACUGCUAGAACACACCAAAACUUGUUAUUGCUUGGCUUGACUUAGUGACUUUUGAUCACGUCUUGAUUGUUAGCAUCACACCCAUUUGGAUUGACAACCUUCAGUACUACAACGACAUGAUAGUGCUUUAGGAUUAAUUGAUCUUAAGAACCUAUUAUCAAUAUCAAUAGAGGUGUUCAUGGAUGAUUUUUUCCAUGUAUGGCUCUUCCGUCUCCUCCUAUUUGUUGAACAUGUGCAGGGUACUCAAAAGAUGUGAGGAGACAAACCUGGUGCUGAACUCGGAGAAAUGCCAUUUCAUGGUUAUAGAAGGCAUCGUUUUGGGAUACAAGAUUUUGGAGGAGGGGAUAGAGGUUGAUAAGGCUAAGGUUGAUGUGAUGAUGUAGUUACAGUCGCCAAAGACUGUCAAGGACAACGGGAAUUUUCUUGGGCAUGCAGGGUUUUACAGAAGAUUCAUCAAAGAUUUUUCCAAGUUGCCCAGACCCUCACGAGAGUGUUCUACAAGGAAACCAAGUUUACAUUUGAUGAAGAAUGUUUGACAGCCUUUAAGUUGAUCUACGAAGCUUUGGUCACUUCUCCAAUAAUCCAAGCUCCAAACUGGGACUACCCGUUUGAGAUCAUGUGUGAUGCUUCAGAUUUUGCAGUAGGAGCAGUUUUGGGUCAGUGGAUUCAUA